rnacentral:rRNA from 1 species
UCUUUGGAGAGUUUGAUCCUGGCUCAGAGUGAACGCUGGCGGCGUGGAUUAGGCAUGCAAGUCGUGCGAUCUCGCAAGGGAUAGCGGCAAACGGGUGAGGAACACGUGAGUAAUCUGCCUUAGAGUCAAGCAUAGCCCCGUGAAAGCGGGGGUAAUUCUUGAUACGGUGCUGGAGCUGCAUGGCUCUGGUAUUAAAGACGGGGACCGCAAGGCCUGUCACUUUAAGAUGAGCUCGCGUCCUAUCAGCUAGUUGGUGAGGUAACGGCCCACCAAGGCUUAUGACGGGUAGCUGGUCUGAGAGGAUGGUCAGCCACACUGGGACUGAGACACUGCCCAGACUCCUACGGGAGGCUGCAGUCGAGAAUCUUUCACAAUGGGGGAAACCCUGAUGAAGCGACGCCGUGUGAGUGAAGAAGGCCUUCGGGUUGUAAAGCUCUUUCGCCUGGGAGAAAGAAAGAUGGGCUAAUAUCCCAUCGAUUUGAUAGUACUAGGUAAAGAAGCA